ACGUAGGUGGCAAGCGUUGUCCGGAAUUAUUGGGCGUAAAGGGCGUGUAGGCGGCCAGACAAGUCUGUCUUAAAAGUGCGGGGCUCAACCCCGUGAUGGGAUGGAAACUGUCGGUCUAGAGUGUCGGAGAGGAAAGCGGAAUUCCUAGUGUAGCGGUGAAAUGCGUAGAUAUUAGGAGGAACACCAGUGGCGAAGGCGGCUUUCUGGACGACAACUGACGCUGAGGCGCGAAAGCGAGGGGAGCAAACGG
rnacentral:rRNA from 1 species